GCGCUGAGUGAAGGCACUGUUUGUAGUGAAAACCUGUUUGACAACUCAAACACAAACAAUGAUGAUGGCAGUGACAAUACUUUAUUACCCGUGAGAUAAUUUUUGUGUAAAAGUACAGAGCUCAAACAUUGAUAAAAGGAUGAAAUCAUUUUCAUUACAUACAAUAAAUAACACACAUAUAACACGCUAACAAGGUAAGACAAACACUAGGAAUCAUUCAAAAGAUUAAUACGGGUGGGAACAAAGGAUAUCAUGGCACGAUUGGAUUUAAAACGGGGUAAAUUAUAACGGCGCCUAGAUGGCAGUAAUUUAUACUCAUAGAGGAUGGGAUGAUCUGGAUAGGAUAUAAUCUUACGGGCUGACUUGAGAACUCUUUCUGUUUCUGGUGGGACAAAGGGACAAUGUUCCAUACCAGCAUUGUACAGAAAAAAACAGAACGCGCGCAUGUCUGCCGACGGGCGUAUUGAUUAACUGUUUCGAAAAAGUACUGACUUUUCUGGAAAUCUCAAGUUCUCUUAAUCCGAAAUCGAAAGCAGUGCGCUAAUAUCGAAACAACAGUUACGUUCAUAUUGUUAUAUACGUUUCAACCACCUAUCAAGCAUAACGCAGAGGAAAUAGGUUUUAAACAUACAUUGAAUAUGCAAUGAUAAUCUAUCUAUACAUUGAUUUGACAUGCUUCUGUUGGACGUUUCUAUGUUUAUCACAGGUGCAUGUAGAAAGUUGAAAGCACAGUGACAUAACUACUAUAAACCGUUUGAAAAGCACCAAUUUACAUUUGCAUUGUCCUCAAUUACCUUUAUCUGAGAUUUUGUCAUGUUGCUUAAAGCGAUGGCCCGUUUGCAGAUCACUCUGUCCCGACACCAUUAGCAGCUCUCACCUGUGCAUAGCGGCCUUUCAACCACACCUUGAUAUACCACAUGCUGCACCCUGGCCAUUAUGUAGUCUAGCCAGUCACGACUGUCGACACGCAAAAUACUCUUCCUAAAAGCUAAAUUAUUGUUUGUCAAUCUGAAUUUUUGUCCAGACAAUUUAUUUAUUUACUCAAGAGGCCACAGGCCUACAGUACAUUACAAACAUCAUACUGUGAGUUACACAUUUACUGAAGUGCACUAUUUGUUUCUGUAUAACAUCGCAUGAUAAAUAAACAUAGACAGAUUCUGUAGUGCAUCAUGGAAUUGCUGUUUCAUUUAGACUAUCAUUUUAGAGAUACUGACAAUUGCAUUAUUGCAAAUGGACAAAAAUUAUGUAUAUAUUUCCAAUAAAAUGUACAUCUUUUUACGUGAAGGUAAACGUAAGUGCAAAAGAAUAUUCAUUCUCGUGUAUCCUCAGAAACAGAUUCAAUUAUCCGUAAAGUGCAAAUUACACGAAUGGAUCAAUGAAAAUAAGUGAUGACACCCGGUGUUCACGAAAAGGGUCAAUAUGCCCCGCCCCACCGGUAUCAAUCAAAACACAGCCUCUUUGUUUCCCUUAGAUU